rnacentral:rRNA from 1 species
UACGUAGGUGGCAAGCGUUGUCCGGAUUUAUUGGGUUUAAAGGGUGCGUAGGCGGUCUUUUAAGUCAGUGGUGAAAUCCUAUAGCUCAACUAUAGAUGUGCCAUUGAUACUGAUAGACUUGAGUGAAGUCGAAGUAGGCGGAAUUGACGGUGUAGCGGUGAAAUGCUUAGAUAUCGUCAAGAACACCGAUAGUGAAGACAGCUUACUAGGCUUAUACUGACGCUGAGGCACGAAAGUGUGGGGAUCAAACAGG